UGCCAGCAGUUUCGGUUAAACGAUUAAUUUUGUAAAUUUUUUUUAUAUAUCUUUUUUAGCUUUUAGAAAUUAGGGUGAAAUUUAAUUUUUUAAGGUUAAUGGAUUAAUGGAAAUUUAUCUUUUGGGAAUAGGAUUAGAUACCCUUCUACUAAUUUUUCGUAAGUAGUAAUUUGAAUUUUUGAAACUUAAUUUUUAUGGCGGUUUAAAGGUUUUAUAGAGGGGCUUGAAGCGUUAUAGAUGAUCCUCUUUAAAUUAAUUCUUGUUUUUUUAUCUUUUGUAUUUUUGUAAUAUUUAAAUUUAAUGAUUUGUUGUGGGUAAAGAUUAWUUAUUAUUGCAAAUCAAAAUGUAGAUUAUAAAUAGGAGUUUUUUAGCCACUUUUUUAUUUAGUUUUAAAAUUAGUAUUUAUUAGUAAAUAGAGAAUUUUAUAUUUCUUUUGAAUUUUUAACUUUUGAUGUACAUAUCGCCCGUCGCUUUUAUUUUAGGUAAAAUAAGUCGUAACAAAGUAGA
rnacentral:rRNA from 1 species